AGAAAUCCUCUCUGGUGGAUAUCCCAGUGCUGCAGUUCAGUUUUGCUUUCAUUCAGAGACUCCCUGUCCCAGCCCUGCAGGAGAACUUCCAGCCCUUGUUAGGGCUCCUCAGAGAGUCUGUACAGCUGAACUUGGCUCCUCCUGGCCACUUCCUUCUCCUCAGCAUCCUGAAUGACUUUGUGACAAGGACACCCACCCUGGAGAACAAAAAGGACCAGAAAGACCUGCAGG